rnacentral:tRNA from 1 species
UCCCCCAUAGUCUAGUGGUUAGGAUACUCCGCUUUCAAGCGUCCAGCGUGAUCCGGAGAGUCCCGGGUUCGAACCCCGGUGAGGGAA